rnacentral:rRNA from 1 species
UAAGGAAUAUUGGUCAAUGGACGCAAGUCUGAACCAGCCAUACCGCGUGAAGGAUGAAGGUCCUCUGGAUUGUAAACUUCUUUUAUCUGGGACGAAAACGGGAUUUUUAUCUCAAUUGACGGUACCAGAGGAAUAAGCACCGGCUAACUCCGUGCCAGCAGCCGCGGUAAUACGGAGGGUGCGAGCGUUAUCCGGAUUUACUGGGUUUAAAGGGUGCGUAGGUGGGCUUAUAAGUCAGUGGUGAAAUCUCCGAGCUUAACUUGGAAACUGCCGGUGAUACUAUAGGUCUUGAAUUAUCUGGAGGUAAGCGGAAUAUGUCAUGUAGCGGUGAAAUGCUUAGAUAUGACAUAGAACACCAAUUGCGAAGGCAGCUUACUACAUAUAAAUUGACGCUGAGGCACGAAAGCGUGGGGAUCAAACA